UUAACAAUCUUCAGCCCAACCCCACCCUGUCGACAAACUCUUUUACGGCUCUUCACUUCGUCUUCUUCGUUCUCUGAGUUUAAGCGUUACUUUGAGCCUCUCCUGAUCAGUCAAUGAUCAACCUUAAAUUCUUCUAAUUUUUUUUUUGUUCCACCUCCCCUUGAUCCUGCACCUGUAGAAAGCGUUGUAUCUAAACCUAAAUUCACUCAAAAUCAAAAACCUACUUUGAAACUACAUCCAUGUCCACGAAAUCCACCGGAAAAUCUCAGAUCCCCACUGACAAGACUCAAAUCGCUGUCUAUUUUAAUGACAUCUCACAGGACCAGCUCAGUCAGAGCUUCCAUUUUGGUAAGUCCAUUUCGGCGAGGCAAGAAACAUUGCUAUAUGUUGGACCUUUAUUGGGUUAUAGAGCUCCUCCUUAUCGAUGAACAGGUUACGGUGCGAGUGUGUGUUUUGGCAGGUCGGAGUGAAAUUGAUCCUUGGAGAUGGCCAAGGCCUGCUGUCGAGGUGUAGACGGUUUUGGUAAAAAGUUAACCAAAGUUGUGAGAUGUUUAAGCUGUUUGAUUUCUAUUGCUGUCGCACAAACCACAAAACCCAACGUGGAGUUCAUAUAAUGACGAUGAGCUCAAAUCUGCUGAACGCCUGAACGCAUCAAAAACAUUCCCGUGGGAAAAGGGGCUCAAUAUGAUGUGCCUCAUGGUCGCAUUGGAGAUCUAUAACAAGCAGCCGAGAAAGAGGUUCUGGAUGUUGGCUCAAAUGUACCCGAAGAACAAUAGGAACGAAGAUACGAGAGUCUGGAAAACUCCUCAAAUGGAAGGACUUAUCGAUAGCAAUUCUAGAAUAUCAUCAAUGAUCUAGAUCGAAGUGGAUAUGGACAGUCAAGUUCUUGCAGCCGAGGCAGUCAACUAUUGCUUGAGUUAUUUCUGCAAGUUACAUCUGAAUAUUUUUGAAUAUUGUGCUCAAGUGGAAACUCCAUUAUUCCACAGGAAAGCAUUGCUCAACAUAUAUUGCAGAUCUUGGAGCUCGACAACCUUGAAGAGGUAUAUAAUUUUAAGAUCACUUUACACUCGAAUCAAAUAUAUAAAAUAGUGCAAUCUUCCAGUUCCAUUUGGAACAAAGCAAAGCAUAGUUGCUUUAUGUGUUAAUGUCACUUUUGUGUUUAUUGUAUGUGAUGCAUAAAUGAAAAUUACAAGCGGAAGCAAAUGAUGAGGCCAAGACUUCUCCGCGCUUAUCUAUAUCACCAAACAAAACAGAUUCACCAAUGAUAUGGGACCGUGGAAUGGACGUGGAAUGAACGAAUGUUCUGAAUUUACUCUCUGGGAGGACGAACAGAGCUUGAUGUGAGCAAGACACUGGAGCUCGAGAAGUUUUUGUGGAUAUCUUAAGUUUCUGUUUUGCUAUGCCAAAGUUCAGUGUCAACUACUUAUAUCUUAGUUUCGUGCUGAUUUCCAUCAUGUUUGGAUCAGUAUUUUCAAGAUGUUGGAUUAUACCUUAGUAAGUACUAAGGAAGAAGCUGUUAGAAGGGAGGAUGUUAUGGGAAAACAUUAUCAGGUUUUUACUACUUUUCAAGUCUUUGUUCUUUAUCUCUGUAGAUUAUAAAAGCAAUCAGCCCCGCCUACGGAUUGACUGAGCAGAUGCUUCAUGAGGCCAAUGAGGAGAUAUUUACUUUUGGUUCUUAACGGCUGGGUAGCCAUAUAGAUUAAUAUAAGAUUAAACUUUAUUUUAUUCAUUCUUUUUGUACCGUGAAUUCUUUGGUGUAGAGGAAAUGGACAUCGUAAAGUGGUGCAAGCUGUGUGUUUAUUUAUUGUGGUCUAAUACUUUAGAUGUUGCUCAUACCAAAAUGGUAGUCAAUCUAUAUAUUGUUUAGAAAUUUUGAA